rnacentral:lncRNA from 1 species
UGGAACAGAGCCCGGAAGUAAAGCCUAUCGACUAGUCAACCCAAUAACUAAGAGAAUUGUGGUUAGUAGAGACGUAGUUUUCAAUGAAAGUCAAAGGUGGAAGUGGUCAGAUGAGAAGAAAGAGGGCAACAAUAUGUCUGGUACGAUAGACUUUGGUUUCAAAGUAAUUAGUGAUCAGGAUAUUUCUCAAGACGAAGGAGAUGUCAAAGCGAAGGAAGAAGUUUAUGAUGCGACUCAAAAUCCACAACAAGAGGCACCAG